ensembl:snRNA U4atac minor spliceosomal RNA
ACCUUCCUUGUCUCGGGGUGGACUGGGUUGUUCAAUGAGCGGUUAGCGAGAACAACCCUGCUGACACCUACAGCAACACAACUCGCGUCACCUGCGCUUCUCGCGCAGUGCACGGCGCAAUUUUUGGAACC